rnacentral:rRNA from 1 species
GAUGAACGCUAGCGAUAGGCUUAACACAUGCAAGUCGAGGGGCAGCGAGGGUAGCAAUACCUGUCGGCGACCGGCGCACGGGUGAGUAACGCGUAUGUAACCUGCCCGCAACAGGGGGAUAACCCGGCGAAAGUCGGACUAAUACCGCAUAAAACAGGGGUCCCGCAUGGGAAUAUUUGUUAAAGAUUUAUCGGUUGCGGAUGGGCAUGCGUACCAUUAGGUAGUUGGUGAGGUAACGGCUCACCAAGCCUUCGAUGGUUAGGGGUUCUGAGAGGAAGGUCCCCCACACUGGUACUGAGACACGGACCAGACUCCUACGGGAGGCAGCAGUGAGGAAUAUUGGUCAAUGGGCGAGAGCCUGAACCAGCCAAGUCGCGUGAAGGAUGACUGCCCUAUGGGUUGUAAACUUCUUUUACAAGGGAAUAAAAUGAGAUGCGUGUAUUUUAUUGCAUGUACCUUGGGAAUAAGCAUCGGCUAACUCCGUG